UUGCUCUUCAACGAGGAAUCCCUAGUAAGCGCAAGUCAUCAGCUUGCGUUGAUUACGUCCCUGCCCUUUGUACACACCGCCCGUCGCUACUACCGAUUGAAUGGCUCAGUGAGACCUUCGGACUGGCCCAGAGAGGUGGGCAACUACCACUCAGGGCCGGAAAGUUGUUCAAACUCGGUCAUUUAGAGGAAGUAAAAGUCGUAACAAGGUCUCCGUUGGUGAACCAGCGGAGGGAUCAUUACCGAAGUUACCCUUCUAAACCCAUUGUGAACCUUACCUCUUGCCGCGCGUUGCCUCGGCGGGGAGGCGGGGGUGGGUCGGCGCGCCCCUCUGCGGGCCGCCGUCCCCGCCCCCGUCCCCGCCGGCCGCGCCAAACUCUAAAUUUGCAAAGCGGACUGCAUGUUCUGAUUUAAAACAAAAAACAAGUAAAAACUUUUAACAACGGAUCUCUUGGUUCUGGCAUCGAUGAAGAACGCAGCGAAAUGCGAUAAGUAAUGUGAAUUGCAGAAUUCAGUGAAUCAUCGAAUCUUCGAACGCACAUUGCGCCCGGCAGCAAUCUGCCGGGCAUGCCUGUCCGAGCGUCAUUUCUCCCCUCGAGCGCGGCUAGCCCUACGGGGCCUGCCGCCGCCCGGUGUUGGGGCUCUACGGGUGGGGCUCGUCCCCCCCGCAGUCCCCGAAAUGUAGUGGCGGUCCAGCCGCGGCGCCCCCUGCGUAGUAGAUCCUACAUCUCGCAUCGGGUCCCGGCGAAGGCCAGCCGUCGAACCUUCUUACUCAUGGUUUGACCUCGGAUCAGGUAGGGUUACCCGCUGAACUUAAGCAUAUCAAUAAGCGGAGGA
rnacentral:rRNA from 1 species